AAAUUUAGGUUAAAAGACCAAAAGCCUUCAAAGCUCUAAGUGCGGGUUAAACCCCCUCAAUUUC
rnacentral:tRNA from 1 species